UUUUUUUUUUCACUUUUUCGAGUGCGAUUUGGAUAUUUCAUUUGACUUUUAAAGCUAAGUUUCUCCCACUAUGGCACUAUAUAUAAGACUUUCUUUUUUAUUAUUUUCUUCCUUAUGUGUGUUAUAUUAUUGCUGCGUAUUUUAUGUGGUAACUGAAUAUUCUAAUAUUAAAUCAUUACUAUUAUGAAAAAGAUGGAUUGUUUAUAUAUAAGACCUU
rnacentral:lncRNA from 1 species